rnacentral:misc_RNA from 1 species
GCUGCUUCUAAAUGGGGCAUCUUAAGUAUAGGAUUCUCCUCAACACGUAAAUGCUCAAGGACAGGUAGAUGUGGGAAACCCUUUAGAGUUGUUAUUUUAUUUUUGCUGGCAGCUAAUACCUGUAGUCGAGGUUGACUUGCCAUUGAAAGUGACUUUAAUUUAUUUUGAGCAACAGAGAGAAACUCCAGAUUAGGAAGCUGAGGAAG